AAGUCGUAACAAGGUUUCCGUAGGUGAACCUGCGGAAGGAUCAUUAUUAAAGUUUGCUUUUUCCAAAGCAUCCACCCCACUUGUGCAUAGACCGCAACUGUUUUACCUUUUUGGCGAUGCUUUGAAAGGCAGCAUUUUUGUCUGAACUUUCAACUCGGACUCUUGGGCGCUCUGGGUUAUAGCUAAUUCCCCAUUCCCGAGAGUUUUGGGCAUGCUCGCCAAAAGGUUUUCUAUUAAAAGCAUUUUUUGAAAAUAAUUUUUGUCUGAACAUGUUUUGAGCGAAGUACUUUUUCGCCGAACUUAUCAAUAAAACAAAUACAACUUUUAACAACGGAUCUCUUGGCUCUCC
rnacentral:misc_RNA from 1 species